ensembl:lncRNA
UAUUCACACAAGUCUUUGUCUCAGGAAAGCUUUUGUCUUUCAAACACAGUAAAAUGCACAAAAUCAUGUGAUUUAAUUAUUAUUAUUAUUAUUAUUAUUAUUAUUAUUUAUUUUUAUUUAUUCGUAUUUAUAUGUCAGCCAAACCUGUUUCACUUAAUAUAUUUACUUGAAGACCACCUGACAUUUUAACACAUUUGCAUGUCCACGGUUCUUUGACGUUGGUUAAUUGUCACAUAACAUGCUGGUAAACAAAUAUAACAUUUUAUGCUUUUUAAUAAGUGUGUUAUUUUCAUUGUCAUUAUAAAAUGAUUUAUUUAAAUUUAAUUUUUUUUAUUAUUUAAUUAAUUAUUCACUUUUCAUUUGCAGUUUCUUUACAGACGCCAGUUUGGGAAACAUAGACAUAAUUUAAAGUUUAAUGCACUUCAUGAUUUUAAUAACAACAAAUGGAAUAUAUUUUCAUUCUCUUUGUAUUUUUUUGUCAAUAUGGUACAAUAUUAUCUUAUAUAAAUCAAUGAGAUAAACGUGUUAGGUCAAAAGUAAUCUAAAAGAUCAGAAAGUAGUCUAAUUAUAUCACAUAAAAUGUGUACUGUAAUGGAUACUAACUAAUUUUUUUUUUUUUUAAAUCAUUUAUCAUUUUUAUAAUUUGGAAUCAGUAACGGACUUCAAUUUGUAAGUCAUCUACCCACCAGUGUCUAUACGUUCCUCUGCAAUGACUUUUUUCAACUAUUGGAUCCCAUAUCUGUUCUGAGAGAAGUCCCAAUAAUAAAAAUAAUUUAGCCACAUAAUCAUGUAGGAGAGCAGAGAAAACACCUCCUAUUGGCACAAAAGCUAUUCAGUCUAUUGAGUCUCAGAAAUACCUCAAUGAUUAAAAGUUCCAUUGCAUAAUGUAAUUCUGAUGAAGGUAAUUAAUAUGGUGUUUAUCUCACACUUUUCACAGAUGCAGGAACAAGUGAUGCAGUCACUCAAACAAAUCUCUCCACUCCCACCGCUUUAUCAAACACACCUGCAGACACCACCAAAGGUAAAGCCGACAUCAAACUCACACUCCUGCAUUAUUAUUCUCUCACGCACAAUCUCUCACACUCUGACCUCCAUCUUCCCAUCAUGCCAUGCUGCGAGCACGUUACUGAGCAAGAGGUGUUAUUUAUUUGUUUGUUUGUUUGUUGAGACCCAAGCAAGACCUUUUAAGCAACACCAGGCUUCUCAUUUAAAAAUCCUGCAAUAUAGAUACUAACAUAAAACAUUUAUUUUUGUUCAUCAAAAAAUACAGUUCCUGUGCUGCAAUAAUAAUCAUUUAUUUAUUCAUUUUCAAGAUCACAUGACAUCAAAUGACAAAGGUACUGAUUAUCCUCUUUUGAGGUACUAUCACAGCCAGUGCUAUAUAAUCAAUCACAAGUAAAGAUUUUAUAAACUUUCCUAUUAAAAUCAAAUAUUACAGUAUUCUUGUAAUUUAAUAUGGCAGUGUUGGCUGUUAAAUAUGAAUGAAUUAAAAUUAGGUAUAAAUAAUUUAGAUUUUAAAAAUGUAUUCAUAUGUAUAUUGAAGUAAUUAAAAUCAUAUUGCAUGUUUUUAUUCUUAUCUCAUCUUAAAAAAGGUAACACUUUAGUAUAGGGCCCAAUUCUUCCUAUUAACUAGUUGC